rnacentral:rRNA from 1 species
AACGAAGUGAAUUGAAAUAUCUUAGUAACUUUAGGAAAAGAAAUCAAACGAGAUUGUUAUUUGGUGCAAACUAAAUAACAAGAGCCUAUUAACAAAACUUGUUAAAGUAAAAUGGAUUAAAAUCUGUUUGAAUAUAGGGGAACCUUCCUCUAAGGCUAAAUAUGAUAUAUAAGCGAUAGUGAAAAGUACCGUGAGGUAAAAUUUGAAAUAGUAGUUUUAUAAGCAGCUCGAGUGAAAAUUUAAAUAAGUAAUAAGAGUGUACCUUUUGCAUAAUGGGUCAGCAAGUUAAUUUUAGAUGCAAGCAAUGAUUUCGUGCGCUUUGCGCAUGGAACUAGCUUAGAUAAACCAAUUAUGAGAAAAUGAAUAAGUAUCUAGAAUUAGACCCGAAGGCUAGUGAUCUUACCAUGGUCAGGAUUAUAAAAGUCCGAACGGGUUAUCGUUGUAUAGAUAUCCGAAGAAUUGUGGUAAGUUAGUGAAAGACAAAACUGACUAGUAUAGCUGGUUUUCCGCGAAACCUAUAUGAGUAGGUAAUUUAACUAACAUCUUAGCAGGUACAGAACUGUGAUCUCGGACAAUAUCUUUUGAUUUUGUCAACAUCGGGGGGUUGUAGUGACUUUACCGGAGAGUAUUUGCACUCGGAAUGGCAAAGAUGAAUGUUGAAUAAUCGGACAUAGUGCGAUAAGGUUGUAUGUCUAAAGGGAAACAGCCCAGAACAAGAGUUAAGGUUCCAAAAUUAUUGUUGAGUGAAAUUAAGGAUGUUUUUUUUAAAAACAAUCAGGAAAUAGGCUUAGAAGCGGCCAUUUUUUGAAGACCUCGUAACAGAGCACUGAUUAAUUAAAUUUAGAAAAAAACACCGAAAAUUUAACGGAUCUAAACAAUAUACCGAAACCUUGUACACAUAUUUAUAAUAUUAAUAUUGUAUAUGUGGGGUAGCGGAACAUUGGAUAAAUAUUAAUUAUUAUUUCUUCUAAGAAGUAAUAAGUAUGGAUUAUUAUUAAAAAUAUUUAUUUAUUAAAGAUAUUUAUGUAAUAUUAUUAUACCUAAAAGGUAUAAUGUUUAGAUGAAUAUAUAGAUAGAUUAUAUCUGUCUUUAUUAUUAAUAUAAUCCAUCGAUAUAAUCCAAGAGAGAAUGCUGACAUGAGUAACGAAAAAGGAAUAUCCUCGCCUUAAGCUUAUGGUAUUAUAUUUAAUUUUCGGUAUCUAAAAGUAUUAAUCAAAAGGUAAUUUUGAUGAUAUUUAUAUAUAAAUACUUAAAAAUAAAAAACAAAACCUUUAACAAGUAAUAAAGGUUCUGGAAAAUUUUUUAUUUUUAUUAAGUGAAGUAUAAUGCAAUAUAGGUAUAUUAUAAUUUAUAUAAUUUUCUUGUUACAAGUUUUCAAGAUUGUAUAGAUUUUAUCUAUAUUAAAUAUAUUUUCUUUUUUAUACUAUUGUAUAAGUAAGGUUUAUAUAUACCGUACCUAGAUACUAUCACAAGUAAGCAAGUAGAGAAUACAAAGGCGUUUGAGUGAACAAUCAUUAAGGAACUCGGCAAAUUGACUACCGUAACUUCGGGAUAAGGAGGGCCAUUAUGAUUAGUUUAACAUAUCUUAUGAUAUGAUUUAAUUAAACUAAUCAUAAGAGGAAACAUGAAAUAAUGUUGUACGACUGUUUAAUAAAAACACAGCACUCUGCAAAGAUAAAAUAUCAAAGUAUUGAGUGUGAUGUCUGCCCAAUGUCGGCUGGGUAACGGAUUUACCUUGGUUUUUAACUGAGGUUUUGAAGGAUACCCCGAUUAAUGGCGGCCUUACCUAUGAGGGUCCUAAGGUAGCGAAAUACCUUGGCCGUUAAAUGCGGUCCUGCAUGAAUGACUUAACGAUACAACAGCUGUCUCGAUGAUUGUCUCAGUGAAAUUGGAAUAGCAGUGCAGAUACUGUUUACCUCUAGAUAGACGAGAAGACCCUAUGCAGCUUUACUGUUACUAAUUGCAAGAGUGGAAAUUUAGGAUGAUUUCGAGUGUAUAAGGUAGUUGUUUGAUAACAAUGAAACACCUUUAUUCGUUUCCUACUAUAUGCUCUUGAGGAUUGGGAGGCAGUUUAUGCGGGGCACAGAUCCCACAAAAAGUACCUGGGUAUAUCCAAAGUUCAUUUUGUAAAUUUGUAAAUUUCUUUACAAAUAUUUUAAUUUGUUAUAAUUAUAUUCAUAAUUAUACAGUUAUUGUUAGAUUAAGUUCAAUAUUUAUUUUUUAUUUAAGUAAGAUUUUAACUAUAUGGUGAAUAGAUGUAUUUUAAACUUUACCCGGGGAGGGAGUGAUCCAACUCCGGGAUAUUUAAAAGUUUUUUCUCAUAUUAAUAUUGUAUUUUAUCUUUAUUGAUAUGAUAAUUAAUUAUACUUUAAAAGUUUAAUGGCUAAAUCUUGCUUUACUGUUUGACCUACAAGUCUAUCAGUCGCGUAAGCGGGGCAUAUGAUCACAAGAUGCAUAAAGGAAAGGUCUUGGAUUAUAGAAAAAGUUACGCUAGGGAUUUAUAUCUGUGAGUCCUCCAAUAUUUAAAAAUAUUGGUAAUAUAUUGGGUAAAUUUCAAAGAUAACUUAUAAAUAAAUUAAGUGUAUUUGAAGCGAAACUUAUUUUAGCAAAAGUAGCAGUAGUUCUGCGCUUAAUUUUAGGAUUAAAUCCUAAGAUAAAAUAAGGACGUUCAACGACUAAAAGGUGAGUAUUGCUAACAAUAAUCCUUUUUUUAAUGCCCAACAUCUUUAUUAACUAAAAGAAAAAAAAUUGUAUAAUAAUUAUUAGUAAUAAUAAUGAAAUAGACUUGGUUUUAUACCAAGCUUAAAUAUUAUAUAAUUAAUUUGAUUAAUUAUAUUAAUAUUAUAAUUAAAUAUAAAUAUGCUAAAUAUUAUAAAAUCAAAAUUAAAAAAUACAUAUAAGAAAAAAUCAUUAAAUAGUGAAAAUGUUACUAUACGUAAUAAAGAUUUAGUUCCUGCUGUAAGAGAUUGAAAAAAUAGUAUUUAUGUUUACAACAAAAAUUCUUUAAGUUUGAUACCUGUUGCAAGCAGAUUAGUAAUGAAAUUAAUUAAAGGUUAUUUUAAUUCAUAUAAUUUAAAUAUAGAAUCUAAAUUAAGAAAAGAAAAAUUACGUCGUAGAUUAAGAAAAUUAUCUACAAAUAAAAUCUUUAUUAGUGAUGGUGAAUUUAAACAUACUAAUGAUAAUGUAAAUAUAACAUUAUAUGUAUAUAAUAGACAAAGACUUAAUUACUUAUUAAAAUUAAGAAAAAGAUAUCUAAGUUUAUUUAGAAAGGUUACAUUUGUAAGAAAAUUACAGUUAAUAAGAAAUGUAGGAUUGAAUAUCUUAAACAAACAACAAGAAAAAAGUAAAAUAUUAACAAAUGUUUUACCUAAUUAUAGUUCAAAAGUAUAUUCAGUACAAAAUCUUUAUUAUAGAAAUUUUAUAAAAAAAUCUCUUAAAAGAUUAAAAUACUACAUGUAUUAUAAACAAUUACUUUAUAUUAAUAAAGCUAAAUUUGAAAAUUCAUAUUUACAAGGUUUAAUAAAUUUAGUAAGAAAAAUAUAUAAAAAAAAUGUAGAAUUUAAUAUUAUUAAUUUAAAAUACUUUUAUUAUAAUAGUGAUAUUUUUACACAACCUUUAGUAUUAAAAUUAAGAAAAAAAAGAAAAUUAUUAAGAUAUCUUAAAGCUUUAGUUAGAAAAGCAAAAAUUAAAGAUAUUAAAUUAAAUGAAAGAUCAAAAUAUUUUUUUGAAUUAGAAAAUUUAUUUAAAUUAAAUAAUCUUGAUACUACAAAUAAUUUAUUAAAUAAAUUAAUAGAACAAAAUAAAACAAGUUCAAAAGAUCUUAAAAAAGUUGUAUUAAAUGAUAUAAAAUUUAAAAGAGUAUCAGGUGUUAGAUUAGAAGCUGCAGGUAGAUUAACUAGACGUUAUACAGCUUCAAGAUCUCAACACAAAGUUAGAUAUAGUGGUAAUUUAAUAAAUGCUUAUUCUUCUAUUAAAGGUUAUCCUUCAGCUGUAAUAAGAGGAAAUUAUAAACCUAAUAUACAAUAUACUAAAUUAAAUUCUAAAUCACGUAUUGGAUCUUUUGGUGUUAAAGGUUGAGUAAGUGGUGUUUAAUAAUUAAAUUUAAAUAUACCUAAAUUAGUUAAUAAAGAUGAUGAAAUAGUCUGAACCAUUUUGAGAAAAAUGGAAAUAAAAGGAAAAACCUUUUAUGAUAACAUAAAUUGAACAGGCUAAUUUGCGCAAGAGAGUACAAAUUGAGUGCGCGGUUUGGCACCUCGAUGUCGGCUUAGCUCAUCCACAUGAAUGCAAAAAUCAUGAAGGGUUCGACUGUUCGUCGAUUAAAGAGCUACAUGAGCUGGGUUUAAUACGUCGUGAGACAGUAUGGUUUCUAUCUUCUAGAGGGAAUUAAAGUAGAAUAAAGAUAGCCCCUUCGUACGAAAGGAGUUGGGUAUAUUGACCUAUGGUUUACCUGUUGUUUAUGUUAUAUAUUAUUAUACAUAAUAUAUCAUUUACUUAUACUUAAGUAAAUUGUUCACAUAGGCAUGGCAGGAAGGCUACGUCAGUUAAAGAUAAGUGCUGAAAGCAUUUAAGCGCGAAGCUUACUUUAGGAUACUUUUAAACGUAGUAGAACACUACGA